ensembl:lncRNA
UCGGAAGGAGGGUAUGUCUGCAGAUCGCAAGUCCGGGGCCUAACUUAAUAUUAAGUUACGCCCAUUGACGGUUUCCAUUAGUGUGGUGUUUUUGAUUAAGUGUAUGCGUUUAUGGAGGAAUAAUUACAGGGUCAAUGAUGAAGAUUUCGUGAUGAAGUAAAAGAGUGGACAGGAUAUUGCAUCAUCAAGAGGACCCCAACUGACCUUAACUGAUGAGUGAAAGAUGCCACUAUCAAGCAAAGAAAAUGCUGCACGCUACAGGAAGCACAUUAAAAAUGAUACAGCUGCAACAGAAAGAUAUAUUGCAAAAAGGAAAGAAAGGUAAUACAUCUUAUUAAGCCACAGUUUUUGUGUAGUUGAUAAUUUUGUACAGCAAUAAGUCAGACUUUCCAGAUUUUCAAAUUUGAAUAUGCCAGUUAACCCUUAGUGUUUAUGUUUUUAUAGUUAUCAAGUUAACUAAAAAUAAGAAAUUACAUUGAAAACACACCGGGCGCAUAGAGCCCACGUAGCGUAGAUAAGUGCCUAAUCCCACGCCUGGCCAUUCAUACCGGACACAUUUCCACGUGCCGGUCACAAAAAGAUAGCUGUAAUAGAUUUCAGAAUGUCUUGUUAUGAAAAGCUUUAUUGUUGUUUGUUGUUAUGAUUAUCCAUGUUUAUCUUGUGUAAGUUAUAUUUUGCAAUCCUGUUACUAUUU